CUGGCAGCGUGGAUUAGGCAUGCAAGUCGAACGAGAAGCCUUCUUUUCAAGUUUUCGGACGAGAAGAUUAGGCGGGAAGUGGCGAAAGGGUGAGUAACACGUGGGCAAUCUGCCUUUAAGACGGGGAUAGCCUCUGGAAACGGGGGUUAAUACCGGAUGUGGUAAACGGUCGCAUGGCCGUGCAUCUAAAGAUGGGGAUCUUCGGACCUGUCACUUAAAGAUGAGCCCGCGCACUAUCAGCUAGUUGGUGAGGUAAUGGCUCACCAAGGCUAAGACGGUUAGGUGGUCUGAGAGGAUGGUCACCCACACUGGGACUGAGACACUGCCCAGACUCCUACGGGAGGCUGCAGUCGAGAAUCAUUCGCAAUGCGCGAAAGCGUGACGAUGCGACGCUGCGUGCAGGAUGAAGGCCUUCGGGUUGUAAACUGCUGUCAGAAGGGAGUAAUGUGCCGUAUGUUAAUAGCAUGUGGCAGUGAUAGUACCUUCAGAGGAAGCCACGGCUAACUCUGUGCCAGCAGCCGCGGUAAUACAGAGGUGGCGAUCGUUGUUCGGAUUUACUGGGCGUAAAGGGUGCGUAGGCGGUUUUGUGUGUCGGAUGUGAAAGCCCACCUUUCAUGGGUGGAACUGCAUUCGAAACUGCAGAACUAGAGUACGGAAGAGGAGAGUGGAAUUCAUGGUGUAUCGGUGAAAUGCGUAGAUAUCAUGAAGAACACCGGUUGCGAAGGCGACUCUCUGGAACGAUACUGACGCUGAGGCACGAAAGUUAGGGUAGCGAAAGGGAUUAGAUACCCCUGUAGUCCUAACCGUAAACGGUGCGUACUUGAUGUUGGUCGGUUUACCCCGAUCAGUGUCGGAGCUAACGUGUUAAGUACGCCGCCUGGGGAGUACGGCCGCAAGGCUAAAACUCAAAGGAAUUGACGGGGACCCGCACAAGCGGUGGAGCAUGUGGCUUAAUUCGAUGCAACGCGAAGAACCUUACCCAGGCUUGACAUGUAACUGCACGCUUACCGAAAGGUAGGAAGCCUUCGAGGGUGUUACACAGGUGCUGCAUGGCUGUCGUCAGCUCGUGCCGUGAGGUGUUGGGUUAAGUCCCGCAACGAGCGCAACCCUUGUGAUUAGUUGCCAGUUUUUCAGAGAUGGAAAGCGCACUCUAAUCAGACUGCCGGUGACAAGCCGGAGGAAGGUGGGGAUGACGUCAAGUCAGUAUGGUCCUUAUGCCUGGGGCUGCACACGUGCUACAAUGGAUGGUACAGAAGGAAGCAAUACCGCGAGGUGGAGCUAAUCCCCAAAACCAUCCUCAGUUCGGAUUGGAGUCUGCAACUCGACUCCAUGAAGCCGGAAUCGCUAGUAAAGGCGUAUCAGCUACGACGCCUUGAAUACGUUCCCGGGUCUUGUACACACCGCCCGUCACAUCACGAAAGCCGAUUGCACCCGAAGCCGCUGGGCCAACCCGUAAGGGAGGCAGGUGUCGAAGGUGUGAUUGGUAAUUGGGAUGAAGUCGAAACAAGGUA
rnacentral:rRNA from 1 species